AUUAUGCAAUUUCAAAGCAUAAGAAAUACAGUUCUGUAGAUCCAAUAAGAGCAGUAGGGGCAUCUUCUGUUUAAUCUAAGUUGAUUUUUCUCUCUCUGUUGUAAAUCACACCUGAUCCUGAGAAGAGCUGAAGUUUCAUCCUCUCCUGUUCCUGGCAAAAUUAAUGGAAGUUAUCCUGUUGUAUUAUGAGGGUUUUUGAGCUUCAACUGUAUUGUAUGUUCCAAAAUAACUUAACUGGUACUGAAGACACUGGAUCCCUGGUAUCCCAGAAGAGUUACAUUGCUGUGCCCUCUUUAUCUACUUUAUAUCUCAGACUAAGCCUCCUGUUUCAUCUCUCAGUAAAUAUCUAAACCCCUAUCUGCUGUGAAAUGAAAUAAAACAGACAUUGAACUACAUGGAUCAUGACAUAUUUUUAUAGAAUGACUGUUCUAAAAGGGAAGAAAAAGAACUUUGCUUUUACCAUGAUAUUACCAAUACCUGAUGCUGGAAGGUCUUAGUGCUCAGAUCACCAGUCAAACCUGAGUAUCUCCUAGAGCAGGAUGCUUGCAGUCUAUUAAAAGCUAUUUUUGGACUUGGGGAAGAAGGAGGUUGCAUUUUUGUCCACUGAUCCAACUCCAUGGCCACUGUGCUGUUUCUGAGCUGAAUCUUAAGCAGUAAGAAGCACCACAAGAUAAAGCAGCCGAGAUGAAACUGCCUGAACUUUUGUCCUAAUCCAAAGUUAAAAAAAA